ensembl:piRNA 21ur-2250 ncRNA
UCAACGUGUAUGUUCGGGUUG